AUCUCGGCGAGCCAAGACAUGGCGUGGGCCUGGUCGAAGGGGCAGGCUUUCAACACAUUCCACGGAUUCCGUGACGCAGCUAACGCAUUAAGUUCCCCGCCUGGGGAGUACGGCCGCAAGGCUAAAACUCAAAGGAAUUGACGGGGACCCGCACAAGCGGCGGAGCAUGCGGAUUAAUUCGAUGCAACGCGAAGAACCUUACCAAGGCUUGACAUAUACGAGAACGGGCCAGAAAUGGUCAACUCUUUGGACACUCGUAAACAGGUGGUGCAUGGUUGUCGUCAGCUCGUGUCGUGAGAUGUUGGGUUAAGUCCCGCAACGAGCGCAACCCUCGUUCUAUGUUGCCAGCACGUCAUGGUGGGAACUCAUAGGAGACUGCCGGGGUCAACUCGGAGGAAGGUGGGGAUGACGUCAAAUCAUCAUGCCCCUUAUGUCUUGGGCUUCACGCAUGCUACAAUGGCCGGUACAAAGGGCUGCAAUACCGUAAGGUGGAGCGAAUCCCAAAAAGCCGGUCCCAGUUCGGAUUGAGGUCUGCAACUCGACCUCAUGAAGUCGGAGUCGCUAGUAAUCGCAGAUCAGCAACGCUGCGGUGAAUACGUUCCCGGGUCUUGUACACACCGCCCGUCAAGUCAUGAAAGUCGGUAACACCUGAAGCCGGUGGCCCAACCCUUGUGGAGGGAGCCGUCGAAGGUGGGAUCGGUAAUUAGGACUAAGUCGUAACAAGGUAGCCGUACCGGAAGGUGCGGCUG
rnacentral:rRNA from 1 species